GACGUCGAAUAUCGACGUUAUAAACACCAAUGUUGAUCGUGUUUAUGACGUCGAAUAUCGACGUCAUAAACACCAAAGUUGAUCGUGUUUAUGACGUCGAAUAUCGACGUCAUAAACACCAAAGUUGAUCGUGUUUAUGACGUCGAAUAUCGACGUUAUAAACACCAAAGUUGAUCGUGUUUAUGACGUCGAAUAUCGACGUCAUAAACACAAAAGUUGUUCGUGUUUAUGACGUCGAAUAUCGACGUC